GAUCCUGGCUCAGGACGAACGCUGGCGGCGUGCCUAAUACAUGCAAGUAGAACGCACAGUUUAUACCGUAGCUUGCUACACCAUAGACUGUGAGUUGCGAACGGGUGAGUAACGCGUAGGUAACCUGCCUGGUAGCGGGGGGAUAACUAUUGGAAACGAUAGCUAAUACCGCAUAAUAUUAAUUAUUGCAUGAUAAUUGAUUAAAAGGUGCAAUUGCACCACUACCAGAUGG
rnacentral:rRNA from 1 species